GUUUUGCCCACCGCUCCAAACCGUCCGCCCCAGAUUCCACGCCUCUCGACGGUUCCUGCCCGCGCGCCCCUCCUGCUCGACGCCGUCACGGGGGCCCACGCACCUUUCCUGCGCCUCCCCGCGCGAGUAGCUGUUCCGCGCCGCCGCCGUCACGCCGCCUCGAUCGCAAUCCCAUCCCGCCCCUCGCGACGCCCUACCCCUCGCGCCGAGCUGGUCCGCGCCACCGCCACCGCCAUCGCGUCAUCCAGCCAUCCCGCCCCACCCCGCCAAAUCGAGGUGCCCCUGGUUGCCGCCGCGAGGGGUCCCCGUCCGCUUGCGCAAAAAGGAGGCGGUCCCCGUCAGCUCGUCGCCUCCUCGCGCGCUAGCUCGUCGGCUCCCCGACGAUCUGCUCCGGACCGAGGCCCUCGCCGUGGACCCGCGCGCCCCUGCUGCGCUUUCCCGCGCGUCAGCUCGUCGCCUCCCCGACGAUCUGCUCCGGCCCGAGUCCCUUGCCAUCGGCGCCACGUUCGCCGGCCUAACGCUGCCAUGCCGAAUCCCCGACUCGAUCGUCAGCUUGGCCCGCACUUCGACGUUGAUGCGCCACGCCGCAGCCGGAUCUCCGUGCGCGCGGGCGGCAGCUUGGUGCUUCCGGCCUCCCCCGAGACUAUGGCGUGGAGGCGAACAAAACGAGCGGACCUGAUCCCUCGAUGCCACCAACGCCGAGUCGCUGAUGACAUCAGGAUGUAGGCGGCGCCGGCCUCUUGGUCUCAUAGCAAGUAGCAGCUGGGCAGUAGGGUUUUGUUGAUGCCCAUCUCACGCUGGGGAAAUUGUUUGUUACGUGAGGACGCGGCGGCGAGCGGCGAGGUGGACAGAGGAGGCGGGUCCCAGGAGCAGGGGAGGCCCUCCGCAGCUUCAUAGAGGUGAGGAUCUUUGGAGAUCAAUCCGUGGUGACUGAGAAUUCUCUAGAUUUCUGCUAAUGCCUAACCUUGAUGGUAAAAUUUGGCAACUUGGUAAAUCGAAUUACAAAACUGGCACAUGGAACUGAGCAGCAACUUGGUAUAGUUAGAUUAUGCCAUUUGGUCAAAUUCCCAACAUGGUUUUGGAAACAAAAUAAGUGGAACUUGGCAACUACUCAUCACAUUUCUAUUUUUCUAAUGACUUGCCGUUUUCCAGCUUCUUAGUUCUUGUAUACUCCUAAUGCAAUUUAAGAACAAGACCAAUACCUUUGCUGAUUCAUCAUUUGGUACGGAUAAUCUAACUAUACCUUUUUCCUUAAUUGUAGUAUCAUUUGAAUCCAGUUGUUCCUUGUGACUUUGAUCCAUUUCUUAUCCAAGGUAUAAAUGAGGGAUCUUUUUUGUCCAUUUCUUCCAUGCUUUUGAUCCUUUAGGUGCAUUCAUUCAUUGAUUCAUGGACCUGGCUAGAUGAAUGGGGCCUUGGAGUAUUGUCUGUUACGAAGUGUUAUGGAUGAAAAAUGCUGCAGCAUUUGUUAGAAAGUUUAUUAUAAGUUUGGAGGAUUGUCUGUUACAAAGUGUUGGAUGAAAAAUGUUGCAGCAUUUGUUAGAAAGUUUUUUAUUUAUUUCAAAUAACAGGAUCAAAGUAACUAUGAACAAAUAGCUAUCCGAUUCCAUCCCCUCAAUUCUCUGAGGUUUUUGGCCAAGUUUUGUUUUAGUUUUUGAUCCUGCCCUUUCGAAAUCUUUCCGAGGAGCACAAUAUUUGAUGUUGCUGGUGGAGAUUUCCUCUUAAUUCUAAACUUCCGGAUGUGAUGUUUGGCCUUGACCAAUGCUGCCGUUUGUGUGAUGGAAUGAUCUGUAAAAUAGGGAUCUGUUUUUUAAUAUAUCAGGCGAUAAUAAACUCAGCAGUGGCUACUGUGAUACUAACAACAUGCUUGUUUAGCAGAUACUAAACAACAAGUUGCUUGCAGAGGCAAAAAUUGGCCCAUUGUCACAGGUUCUUCCUUUAUGUACCAGGCUCGUAAACCAAGGUUUGUUUCCUUUGCCUCCAGGGCAUUACUAUUUUGUUUGUUACUGACGUGAGACAUUCACUAUCACUUGUUCAUAUGUUUAGUACUCUUGAAGUCUUUUAUGUUAGGGCUGUUCAUCAUGUAAUCUUGUGAAGUUUUGAUUAUUGUCUCUGCAUGCUUUCUUCUUCUUGGGUAUAGAAUUCUUCUUCACAGUUUGAUUUUGACUAAAUAAGUUGUAUAUAUCAGACCAUAAUAAUACAGGCAGGGGUGUUCAACUGGUUUCUUCCAAUUGAACUAAUUUUGGGCGUCCAGCAGUGUUGCCCAAACUGGUCAACCCGGCGCCAUUAAACACCGCUACAUACAGUGGAUAUUACUUUUGGAAAUCUCUUGAUCAUUUCAACGAAGGGUGGGGAAAAAACAGUAAUCACAUCAACUAAUACUGCAUCGAUAAUGUCAUGUUCUGAUCGUUCGGGUUCAUGUACUUACUGAAUAGGGCAGGUGAGGGGUUUCUUUGUUGUGAUAAAGUUUACUUGUUCCAGAGGCUAACAUUGAACUUAUUUGUUAAGGUUGUUUUCCAAAUGUCUCUUGGGAUGAUAUUGGUGGCCUGGAGAACGUCAAGAGGGAGCUCCAGGAGACUGUUCAAUAUCCAGUGGAGCAUCCAGAUAAAUUCGAGAAGUUUGGAAUGUAUCCUUCAAAGGGUGUUCUGUUUUACGGCCCUCCUGGCUGUGGAAAGACUUUGUUGGCCAAGGCAAUUGCUAAUUAAUGCCAGGCUAACUUCAUCAGUGUGAAGGAACCUGAGCUGCUUACCAUGUGGUUUGGUGAGUGAGGCCAAUAUCUGUGAGAUUUUGACAAGGCCAGGCAGUCUGCUCCAUGUGUUCUCUUCUUCGAUGAGCUUGACUCCAUUGCUACUCAGAGGGGAAGCAGCGUUGGUGAUGCUGGAGGUGCUGCUGACAAAGUGUUGAACCAGCUGAUGACUGAGAUGGAUGGCAUGAACGCCAAGAAGACUGUUUUCAUCAUUGGUGCCACCAACAGGCAAGACAUCAUUUAUUUAGAUCUUGAAUGCCUAGCUUCUUUUCCAGCUUUUGAUCGGAAUAGCAAUACUAGGUACUGGUAUUGAAUUAUGUAGAUCUUGAAUGUGGCUACAUUGACAUUUAUAUCUGUUUCAGAAAAGAAAAACAUUGACAUUUAUAUCUUCACAGUGCUGAUAUGAUGUACACUGUAGCCUUCCAAGAUUUUGAUUUUGAUCAUAAAUAUUUUUGUAUCUUCUUUGUAAUUUUUGCAUAGAGAUAAGAUAUUUUAUUUAGGGGAA